rnacentral:rRNA from 1 species
UACGUAUGUCCCGAGCGUUAUCCGGAUUUAUUGGGCGUAAAGCGAGCGCAGACGGUGGUUUAAGUCUGAUGUGAAAGCCCGGAGCUUAACUUCGGAAUGGCAUUUGAAACUGGGUGACUUGAGUGCUGUAGAGGUAAGUGGAAUUCCAUGUGUAGCGGUGAAAUGCGUAGAUAUAUGGAGGAACACCAGUGGCGAAGGCGGCUUACUGGACAAGAACUGACGUUGAGGCGCGAAAGUGUGGGGAGCAAACAGG